GACUGAGAAGAGCUAAACCCCAGUAGAGCCAAGUUGGGAGGUGGUGAAAAAAAUCCAGGUGAAUAGGGCUAAGCCCCAUACCCAGGAAGAGAGCUGGCAUCAGAAACAGAAGACUGAGGUCAUUUUUAUGGAUGGGAGAUGUGCUGGUGGGUUUUUAUAAGAGCUCAUGUCAGUUGGCAUCCAUUUCUUCAGUAAGGUGAGAAUGUUAUGGCCACACCGUGCCCUUGUCAGAUGGGGGUAAGGCCUUCUGCAUCAUCUACUCCGUCAUCGGCAUUCCCUUCACCCUCCUGUUCCUGACAGCUGUGGUCCAGCGCAUCACCGUGCACGUCACCCGCAGGCCGGUCCUCUACUUCCACAUCCGCUGGGGCUUCUCCAAGCAGGUGGUGGCCAUCGUCCACGCCGUGCUCCUUGGGUUUGUCACUGUGUCCUGCUUCUUCUUCAUCCCAGCCGCUGUCUUCUCGGUCCUGGAGGAUGACUGGAACUUCCUGGAAUCCUUUUAUUUUUGUUUUAUUUCCCUGAGCACCAUUGGCCUGGGGGAUUAUGUGCCUGGAGAAGGCUACAAUCAAAAAUUCAGAGAGCUCUAUAAGAUUGGGAUCACGU
rnacentral:sRNA from 1 species